rnacentral:rRNA from 1 species
ACGAACGCUGGCGGCAGGCCUAACACAUGCAAGUCGAGCGCUGUAGCAAUACAGAGCAGCGCACGGGUGAGUAACACGUGGGAACGUGCCCUUUGGUUCGGAAUAACUCAGGGAAACUUGAGCUAAUACCGGAUGAGCCCUAACGGGGAAAGAUUUAUCGCCGAAGGAGCGGCCCGCGUCGGAUUAGCUAGUUGGUGGGGUAAUAGCCUACACG